rnacentral:rRNA from 1 species
GCAAGUCGCACGAGAAAGCCCGGUUCGCCGGGCGAGUAAAGUGGCGCACGGGUGAGUAACGCGUGGAUAAUCUACCUCGUUCUGGGGGAUAACCCAUCGAAAGGUGGGCUAAUACCGCAUAAUCCGGCUGAUUUUUGAAUUGGUCGGCAAAGGUGGCCUCUUGAUCAAAGCUACCGGGAAGAGAUGAGUCCGCGUCCCAUUAGCUAGUUGGUAGGGUAACGGCCUACCAAGGCGACGAUGGGUAGCUGGUCUGAGAGGACGAUCAGCCACACUGGAACUGGUACACGGUCCAGACUCCUACGGGAGGCAGCAGUGAGGAAUAUUGCGCAAUGGGGGAAACCCUGACGCAGCGAUGCCGCGUGAGUGAAGAAGGCCUUCGGGUCGUAAAGCUCUGUCAAGUGGGAAGAACAGCCUAGGGACGAAUAAUCCCUGGGUCUGACGGUACCACUGAAGGAAGCACCGGCUAACUCCGUGCCAGCAGCCGCGGUAAGACGGAGGGUGCAAGCGUUAUUCGGAUUUAUUGGGCGUAAAGAGUGUGUAGGCGGCCGGUCAAGCCAGAUGUGAAAGCCCAGGGCUUAACCCUGGAAGUGCAUUUGGAACUGGUUGGCUUGAGUUCGGGAGAGGGAAGUGGAAUUCCGGGUGUAGAGGUGAAAUUCGUAGAUAUCCGGAGGAACACCGGUGGCGAAGGCGACUUCCUGGACCGAAACUGACGCUGAGACACGAAAGCGUGGGGAGCAAGCAGGAUUAGAUACCCUGGUAGUCCACGCUGUAAACGAUGGGCGCUAGGUG